UACGUAGGGUGCAAGCGUUGUCCGGAAUUAUUGGGCGUAAAGGGCUCGUAGGCGGUUUGUCGCGUCGGGAGUGAAAUCCUACGGCUUAACUGUGGGCUUGCUUUCGAUACGGGCAGACUAGAGGUAUGCAGGGGAGAACGGAAUUCCUGGUGUAGCGGUGAAAUGCGCAGAUAUCAGGAGGAACACCAGUGGCGAAGGCGGCUUCCUGGACACCAACUGACGCUGAGACGCGAAAGCGUGGGGAGCAAACAGG
rnacentral:rRNA from 1 species